ACUAGGAAUUUUGCGCAAUGGGGGCAACCCUGACGCAGCGACACAGCGUGGAGGAGGAAGGUCUUCGGAUUGUAAACUCCUUUUAUAUGGGAAGAAUAGAUGACUGUACCAUAUGAAUAAGCACCUGCUAACUACGUGCCAGAAGCAUCGGUGAUGCGUAGGGUGCGAACGUUAUCCGGAUUUAUUGGGCGUAAAGAGAUACGUAGGCGUUUCAGUUAGUCUUUCGUUAAAAGUCACGGCUUAACCGUGAAGAUGCGUUGGAUACUGCUGAAAUUGAGACAUGAAGGGGUGAACGGAACUCCAAGUGGAGCGGUGAAAUGCGUUGAUAUUUGGAAGAACAUCAGAGGCGAAGGCGGUUCACUGGUCAUUGUCUGACGCUAAGGCUCGAAAGCGUGGGUAGCAAAACGGAUUAGAUACCCCGGUAGUCC
rnacentral:rRNA from 1 species